rnacentral:rRNA from 1 species
GACGAACGCUGGCGGCGUGCCUAAUACAUGCAAGUUGAGCGCUGAAGGUUGGUACUUGUACCAACUGGAUGAGCAGCGAACGGGUGAGUAACGCGUGGGGAAUCUGCCUUUGAGCGGGGGACAACAUUUGGAAACGAAUGCUAAUGCCGCAUAAAAACUUUAAACACAAGUUUUAAGUUUGAAAGAUGCAAUUGCAUCACUCAAAGAUGAUCCCGCGUUGUAUUAGCUAGUUGGUGAGGUAAAGGCUCACCAAGGCGAUGAUACAUAGCCGACCUGAGAGGGUGAUCGGCCACAUUGGGACUGAGACACGGCCCAAACUCCUACGGGAGGCAGCAGUAGGGAAUCUUCGGCAAUGGACGAAAGUCUGACCGAGCAACGCCGCGUGAGUGAAGAAGGUUUUCGGAUCGUAAAACUCUGUUGGUAGAGAAGAACGUUGGUGAGAGUGGAAAGCUCAUCAAGUGACGGUAACUACCCAGAAAGGGACGGCUAACUACGU